AUAAAAUGCAGUUUAUACUAAGAAGGCUCUCAAAUAAAUUAUUUCUCCAAUCCCUAAACCCCGCCACUCUCUCCUCUCUAAAAAAAAAGUGGAAGAAAAACCUUCUUGUCUAGCACUGCUAUUCUACAUCAUUCAUGAGAAAAUGAUCAAGACACUGAAGUACAUAUCAAGGCAUUGAUUUUUUCACUUAACAAGUCAAGUGGCAAAAGAAUGGAAAGAUACUAGUUGACAAGUUUCUUAGUUAUUUUUGUUGUAUUAGGUGAAUAAUUUGUAUCUUUUUGUACAGAUGUUAGAUUCAAGGAAGG